ensembl:lncRNA
CUCUGCUUCAAAACCACUGUUGUUGCCUUUAUUGAAAGGUACAUAGAAUACAGAUCCAUAUAUUUCUCUUUCACAAAGAUCGGGAAUGAUGAAGAUGUCAUAAUACAGCAUCUUAAGAUGUGUCCCUGCUGUUUCCUCUUGCGCUCACAUACGCUAUAUUUCAUCUGAUAUCUUGAAUGCUUCAGCUAAAGGCAGAAAUUAGGUAUUUUUCUACUUCUGAUAAGAAAUAGCUGCUCGUAAUACAUAAAGAUGCGGGUAAAACAAAGGCAGAAACCUUACAACACCAGGCUUCCCUGUUAGGGGCCCAGAAAAUGUGAUUUUCUCCAGAGAUCCAGCCCUUCUGUUUUACUUUGGACCACCUAGGGAUACAAUGCAGUGAUUUUUCUGUCAGGGAGCAGAAAUGCUUCGGAGCCUCCUGCAGUUCACAGCACACUCCCAAAGUCAGAUCUAAAUGGAAUGAUUUUGCUGCGUUUCAUUCCUGCCAGGACAAAGCAAAGGUGGUCUUCCCUCAAAGCACCACAUCUCAACAAAGCUGUAGUAAAUCUAGUAAAAACACCAUUUCAAAAGGAGCUUUCAGAUACUGAUUCACCAGGCGUGAUUUUUCUGGUCUUGCUCCUUGCACACCUCCUCACCAUCCCAGGCACUGCGUUAUCCUGCUGGCAGUUCUGCUGCUCCAGCCAUGCCCCGCAUGGAGCUCAGCAGCCGUACUCCCGCUCGAUGCUGGCCAUCAGCUCCUCCUCUGAGCCGUGGUACAAGAUGGCUGGGCACCCCACCGGCUGCUUACUGCCCUGUGAUAGGCACCUGCAGGUGGAGGGAGCAGGUUAUUGAAUCAUGGAAUGGCCUGAGUUGAAAAGGACCACAAUGAUAAUUGAGUUUCAACCCCCCUGCUGUGUGCAGGGUCGCCAACCACCAGACCGGGCUGCCCAGAGCCACAUCCAGCCUGGCCUUGAAUGCCUCCAGGGAUGGGGCAUCCACAACCUCCUUGGGCAACCUGUUCCAGUGCGUCACCACCCUCUGUGUGAAAACCUUCCUCCUAAUAUCUAACCUAAAUCUCCCCUGUCUCAGUUUAAAACCAUUCCUCCCUAUUGCUGCUGGGAAAAGAGCCACGCUCCCUCACUGCUAACUUCAUCAUCGGGUGAAUGGGAAAAUGGCAGUGCUCGUGGCUUGCUGAGAUGCUGCUAUUCUAACACAUCAGAUUUCCACACCCCAUGGGCACAGCGCUGGCUGACAUUUGCUAGCACUUGGCACCUAUUCUAGUCGGUGAGAUUGUCACAGUGAAAUCUAUACAGUACUCAAGCUCCUGUGCUCCGUAAUCCUCAGUAAGCUACAGCCACGGCCCAGCCAACACACUGCAUACCCUGUAACACCAGCUGCUAGUUCCAAGGUUUCGUCCAGAAAGGUGUUUUUGUUAUUAUCUGACCACCAUGUGCAUGCCCUGUGGCCUUUGCCCUUUUCAAGAGAGCUGGGCGUUGCCAUUAAGAAUGACCAUUUUGGUUAUUUUUGUGCUUCUGCUUUUGAG